rnacentral:lncRNA from 1 species
GAAAAAACAACCGUCGCAACUACGCCUGUCAGUGCCGUCCUUUUUUUUCUCUCUUUGAAAAGAGCAUGCACACCGCCGCUCACCCGUCGAGGGUGAUUGCCGCCGGCGACUCGACUCUGUCGUAAGGGCUUUGGCCGUUACGGCUCUCUGGCGACCUUUUCAUUUUGCCCCGGCGCCAUUGCCGAGUGCCGCCCAUGCGGCGGCAGGGAAAGAGGGCACCGUGUUGUUCACUUUUUUUCCCUUUUCUUCCGGAUGGGCGGCACGAAAACGGGCCGACCGGAGGACAACUUGUUUCCCCGCGCCUUUUGAUGUGCUCCAGCGGCUGGCGAACUGACGACGACCAAAGAGACCAAAAAAAAAGAAAGAAAGAACGAGGCCGGCCGAAGAG